UACAGAGGGGGCAAGCGUUGUUCGGAAUUACUGGGCGUAAAGGGCGCGUAGGUGGCCUUCUAAGUUGAACGUGAAAUCCCUGGGCUCAACCCAGGAACUGCGUCCAAGACUGGGAGGCUUGAAUCCGGGAGAGGGAUGCGGAAUUCCAGGUGUAGCGGUGAAAUGCGUAGAGAUCAUGAGGAAGACCAGUGGCGAAGGCGGGUCUCUGGACAGUUCCUGACACUGAGGCACGAAGGCCCAGGGGAGCAAACGGGG
rnacentral:rRNA from 1 species